GUGGGGAAUAUUGGACAAUGGGCGCAAGCCUGAUCCAGCCAUGCCGCGUGCAGGAAGACGCAUCUAUGGUGUGUAAACUGCUUUUGUACGGGAAGAAACACUCCCUCGUGAGGGAGCUUGACGGUACCGUAAGAAUAAGGAUCGGCUAACUCCGUGCCAGCAGCCGCGGUAAUACGGAGGAUCCAAGCGUUCUCCGGAAUCAUUGGGUUUAAAGGGUGCGUAGGCGGUUUAAUAAGUCAGUGGUGAAAGCCCAUCGCUCAACGAUGGAACGGCCAUUGAUACUGUUAGACUUGAAUUACAAGGAAGUAACUAGAAUAUGUAGUGUAGCGGUGAAAUGCUUAGAUAUGACAUGGAAUACCAAUUGCGAAGGCAGGUUACUACUUGUGGAUUGACGCUGAUGGACGAAAGCGUGGGGAGCGAACAGGAUUAGAUACCCGAGUAGUCC
rnacentral:rRNA from 1 species